AGUGAACGCUGGCGGUAGACCUAACACAUGCAAGUCGAACGGCAGCACAGUAAGAGCUUGCUCUUACGGGUGGCGAGUGGCGGACGGGUGAGGAAUACAUCGGAAUCUACUUUUUCGUGGGGGAUAACGUAGGGAAACUUACGCUAAUACCGCAUACGACCUACGGGUGAAAGCAGGGGAUCUUCGGACCUUGCGCGAUUGAAUGAGCCGAUGUCGGAUUAGCUAGUUGGCGGGGUAAAGGCCCACCAAGGCGACGAUCCGUAGCUGGUCUGAGAGGAUGAUCAGCCACACUGGAACUGAGACACGGUCCAGACUCCUACGGGAGGCAGCAGUGGGGAAUAUUGGACAAUGGGCGCAAGCCUGAUCCAGCUAUACCGCGUGGGUGAAGAAGGCCUUCGGGUUGUAAAGCCCUUUUGUUGGGAAAGAAAAGCAGCAGGUUAAUACCCCGCUGUUCUGACGGUACCCAAAGAAUAAGCACCGGCUAACUUCGUG
rnacentral:rRNA from 1 species